rnacentral:rRNA from 1 species
UAAGCAACCUGCCUAUCAGAGGGGAACAACAGUUAGAAAUGACUGCUAAUACCGCAUAUGCCUUGAGUAUUGCAUGAUACAAAAGGGAAAGGAGCAAUCCGCUGAUAGAUGGGCUUGCGCUGAUUAGCUAGUUGGUGGGGUAAAGGCCUACCAAGGCGACGAUCAGUAGCCGGACUGAGAGGUUGAACGGCCACAUUGGGACUGAGAUACGGCCCAGACUCCUACGGAAGGCAGCAG